GAUGAAGAACGCAGCGAAAUGCGAUAAGUAAUGUGAAUUGCAGAAUUCAGUGAAUCAUCGAAUCUUUGAACGCACAUUGCGCCCGCCAGUAUUCUGGCGGGCAUGCCUGUCCGAGCGUCAUUUCAACCCUCGAACCCCUCCGGGGGGUCGGCGUUGGGGACCUCGGGAGCCCCUAAGACGGGAUCCCGGCCCCGAAAUACAGUGGCGGUCUCGCCGCAGCCUCUCCUGCGCAGUAGUUUGCACAACUCGCACCUGGAGCGCGGCGCGUCCACGUCCGUAAAACACCCAACUUCUGAAAUGUUGACCUCGGAUCAGGUAGGAAUACCCGCUGAACUUAAGCAUAUCAAUAAGCGGAGGA
rnacentral:misc_RNA from 1 species